UGAGCCGAAGUCGGCUGCUUAACUGACUGAGCCACCCAGGUGUCCCAAAAAAAAGCCAUCUUGAGGACCUCAGAGAAACAGCCUUCCACAGCACGUCGAAUCUUUUGCGAUGCUUAUCAGCCAAUACAGGACACAGUAGAGCAGGAAUUACCCAGAAGCUUGCCCAACGUGGCUUCUCCUUUUCGUUAAGUACCCACAGCUGGAAAUAGUGGGUUAAUAAAGGCACACCAUCUCAGGGGACUGGGGCUUGCUUGGCUCCUAAAUCCCCUUUGAUUUAACAGGCCUGCUUUCUGAAUUGGGGAUCUUCUUGGAUUACUAACAGUGGUUUUAGAUGUUUUACUGUGUCUUUGGAGAUACAAGAGAACACUAGGAUUAGCCAGCUUUUAACCUCUCUCUAUACUGAAUUCUAUAGGCAAGGGGUUUCAAUCAUAUUCCUUGAACAUUCUAAUUCCAUAUACUACAGUUUCAGUGGGAUUUAGGGGUCUUGUUACCAAAGUAUCAGAAGGAAGGAGCACCACCUGGUAAUGUCAUCUUCCCCAUCGUUCAGCUGGUUCAGAGGUCACUUCUGGGGCAUCCUCUCUUUUCUACGACUCCAGCCUUUCUCAUGCUCAGACCUUUAGUUUGGGGAGAAUUGAGGCCACCCCCAGCUCCAGAGGAGAGGAUCCUGAUUGCCUGAAGACAAAGUAUGGCCUUGGCCAUACUAAUGGGUUUGGGAAUGGACCAUUAACCUAAGUUGGGCCACAGCACUUUCUGCAGAACGCUAAUCAAAAUAAACUCUGCGUGAAGGGAGUUGGUCCAUCAAGUAAGUUUGGGAAAUGCUAUAAACGAUAUUCCCUCUUGGGGAUUCUCUGCUCACAGGAACCUUACACUUCAAUUAUGAUGUCUCUUCCCAGACUGUUCAACUACUCCCUCUCAACUAGAUGCUUUUGCUGUGCUUUUAAGCAUCCCUAAGUACUUUCCAUCUCACGUUUAAAAAGAACAAAAGGUCUACAUGAAAGCCACCCCUACACCAGCCUACCGCCUAUCUCCCGUCUUCCACAGCUACAGAAUUGUCAGGUUGUCCUCUGACUUCCUAACUUCCCAUCCUAUGCCAUCACUCCUCCAUAGAAAUGACCCCAAGGUUGCCCAUACAUCCGUGUCGAAAACACAUGGGCUUUGCUCAAUCCUCACCUCCUUCGACUCUGGUCGCAUUUGACACUAUUGGGCACUUUCUCCUUGAAGCACCUUCUCCCAUUGGCUUCCAGGACACCGUGUGACUCUCCCGGUCUUAAUCCUACCUCUGUGACUGCUCCUUCUCUGUGUUCUUUGCACACUGUGUCUCUUCUACACAACCAUUAAACGAUGGGGUCCCUUGUGGCUCAAUAGUAGGCUCUUCUCUUAAAUUGUGCCCUCUCCUUAGACCAUCUCAACCACGCUCCUAGCUUCGGUGACCAGCUGGCUUCAGUCAUGAGCCCACCCCUGAAGCCGGCAGGAAUGGGGAUGUGAUCAUGGGCGGGGCGUUUCCUUGGUGAUGGGAGGAAAUUGGAGUACUGUGAACAAAGGAAGGAGAAAGGGAUGCUGGAGAAUAG